rnacentral:lncRNA from 1 species
ACAUCUGCCCAGGACUCUCUUCCCAACUUUGCCAAUCAAGCUCUUCCACCUCUUUUAAGCCCCAGCUCUAAUAUUCCACCUCACAGUCUUUUAACCUCCCAUUCCCCCAUGGCCAUUCUUUUCAGUAUACACCCAUGGUUCAUGCAUCUACAACUGCACACCACACUGCGUUGUAACUGUUUUUUAAUGCAUUACUCCCCCUGUCAGCUCUCGAUCCCAUAUUUGUAGGAACUGUGUCCCCAUAUCUGUAUUUUGGUUGCAUCCAGUUGAAAGACAGGGCAUGGUAGAAUAGAAAUAACAUGCACCUUAUAAACUGAUGCAGGUUAAAUCCAAACUGCUCCUUACUUGCUGUGGGGACUGGGGCAAGUUACUUCUUUGAGCUUCUUUAAAACAACAAUAGUAAUACCUGCUAUGCAGGAUUGUUGUGAAGAUUAAAUAAGCUGCAUUCAUUAGUUCAACAAAUAUAUGGAGACGUCCUAUUACAUGUCAGUAAUUGCAAGUGUAACUGUACUUGCUAUUAAGAAUAUAAAGGUGAAUAAGUCAUGACUUUAUCCUAAGAACUUUAUAAUGUGGUAGUAGAGAAAGACUAGGAAAUAGACAGUUGCAACAUAAUUCUUAAAGGAUGAGUAAGGAUUCACUAGCACAGGAGUUAUCAGGUUUAGGUUGAAAGCAGCAGGAUCUGAGGUAGAAGGAGAACUGUGUGCAAUGCCUUUAAGCCAGGGAGAGGAUGGGAAGUCUAAGGCACAGAGGGAGGUGUAAUGUAGCUGUGAUGUGAUGGUGGGGUUAGGCUGCAAAUACAAAUAUUACAAGGGGCCUUGCAAGCUAGGCACAGGGCAGAGGGAAUGUGUGAAGAGUAGAUGAUUAGAUUUGCACUUCAGGAAGAUCUCUUUCCUUGCUGGCAUGUGGAAUAGUUUGGGGGAGUCAAGAGAAUCACUAUGACCAGUGAAGAGACUGUAGCCCAGAAGUGUUAAUGGCCUUAACAGCAGGAGUUACAGUGGAAAUGGGGUGGAGAGAAUGCAUUGAGAGAUAAUUAGGUGCCAGAAAAGGCAGCAAGUGAUAUGGUGUACAGGUGGGGGAAAAGUGCGUAAGGAAGAGAGAGGAGAUUUCGGGGAAAAUGUACAGAAUUUUGACUUGAGGAUGACGGUGCUAUUCUCAGAGAUAGGAAAUGCAAGAGAAGCAGUUUAGGGUAUAGGUAGGGAAUGGAAAGUGAGUCCAGUGUGGAAAUUGUGGAAUUUGAAGUACCCAGAGGGAGCGCAGGACAUUUUGACAUCAUUUUGAGCUCUUGUAUGUUUUGACCCUGCUGUUUUUUUUGUUCUUGAAUAUAAACAUUGCCGUCAAGAUGAUAUCAACACUGAUGAAUUUUGUGGUAAAGAUUUAUUCCAGGGUUAACUUCGUUAAGCUAGUUUAAUUUAUUGACCUAUUUCCUAUAUUGCAAAUUUAAUCUUUUCCAAUUUGUUCCCUCCUGUAUUGUUUUACUAGCACUGUUUCCAUCAGGACAAAAUCUUUCUUGUGUACAUUUUACAAUGAAUACUUGAUUUAUCAACCUCUUUAUCAUCAUCUUUUUCAAAUUUUUACAGAUACAACUUUUCCAUGAUAAAUGUCGUUUUAGCUCUACUAUUUUUACCAUGUCAAAUUUUGGACAACUACUCUUUUUGAUUUUUCAUUAAUUUGUGAGCAAUAAUAACUUUUUACCAUUUUCUGUUUUUGCUAUUUUCAGUUGUAUUUUACCUUUUUUUUUGUAACCAGCGAAAUAGUUUCAUGAGACAAUUUUUUCAACUUUAAAAAUUACCAAUGAUCUGUGAUUCUCAAGUCAGCUUUUCAUCUAUAACAAAUUUUGCUGUGUAUCAUUUUGGCCCUUGUCGGUUUCAUUUUGGUCCUUAAAACCAAAACUGCCUCAGAAUCUAAAUGGCAUUCUUCUGCCUAUGGAAGAGCCAAGGAUAGAAGUCCAGAACAUAGGUACAUGUAUAUAGGUAUGGCGAUUUGAAGAGAAGUCUAGGAUGAAAUGUAGAUUUGUAAGCAUUUGCAUCUGGGUAUGGGGGCAAGAGAGUGGAUGACAUCUCACCAGAGGGUGUAUAGCGUAAGAGAAGAGCACCCCAAAAAACUAGGAGAAAGAAUCCAGGAAGGAGCGGUAGAAGGUAGGGAGAAACUCACAAGACGGCAUUCUUGUGGAAGUCAAGUCAAGAAAGAGGAAGUGGUCAACAAUGUUGGAUGCUGCAAAGAGGAUGCAUACUGAAAUGUGUGGAUUUUGCAACAAUAACAUCACCCUGUCGUCACUGAAGGCAACCUCAUGAACGGAGAAAGAUAUGCAGCUGGGUAUACAGAAGAGGAGCAAGAAGGAAGCGAAGAUGUGGAGACAAUUACAAGGACAACACUGGGCUGCAAGAAGAAAAAUUUGCUUAUUGAUUGGCUGGUUUGUUUCCUUUUAGUACGGAGAGACUUAAGCAUGGUUAGGUGCCGAUGGGUUAGAGAGGAGAGGAUGAAUGUACAGGAGAGUUGGAACAGGAUCCCCAAGAAGAAAAUUAAGAUCCCAGUCCUUUCCAGGGGUAGAAUUUAGCAUUGCUGCCUAAAUCUCCAUAUCUAAUGAUUCCUCUGCAGCCGUGCCCAAGACAGAACCAUCCUCAAUCUGGCCCAUCCAUUUGGGCUUUUACUUUGGGUUCCCCAUUAAACCCCUAAUUCCUUCCUGGGCCCAGAACUUUCUCCAGAGCUGCUAUCACUUGCUUUCAUAUCUCAGUCAAGGGGAUCUUACUGCCCUUAACCCCACAGUACUAUCACUUGCCAUGACGCUUGAAUAUUACUGCUUUUGAGAAAGUCUUGCUACCACGUGUUGGCCACAACAUCAGAUAAGCUUUGAUACUCUUGCUCUCCAGCUGUGAGCUGGGUCUUACCUCAUCUACUAGAUCUACCACUCACAGGUCAGAUGAAACAAAACACUGUGUUGUGACCCUGACCAUUCUCUGUUCCUCCCAUUUGUCCUGAGACUGAACAAAUUACAGCAAAACUUGGGUUGCCUUAUGAAUAAUGGGGCGGUGGCCAAUGCACACAUCCUUAUCUUCAUCCACGGAGGGCUCAUCUAACCACCCCUGGUGUCUUCACUGCAGGUUUAUUGGGCACUUCCUAGCACCAGGCACUGCAAUAAGAAAUGGAGGUUAAACCAUGAAGAAACAUGGCUCUAGCCCUUAGGGAGCUCCCGGUCCUGCAGGUUUUCACUAUUUAUUUAUGACAAAUAUUCCACAUCCGUGAUUCUCUCUAGUCAAAACUUCUUUGAGACGAUGCUGUCGGCCUUGGCCAAUCGGAGAAUCGAAUCAUCUGACUCACCCAUCCUAUCGCCCCGCAGAUAGCAUAAGUUUUAAACUGGCCAUUAAACCUGCCCGUGACCUUGUCAGCCUCGGCCACGUUCAUCUGGAUGGAUGCGUGGUCCUUGGCACCGAUGAUGCGGUUGCUAGCGGAGCAUUUCCGCGGAACUUACAGGUCCACGAACUCGCCGGCGUUGUUCUGCAUUUCGAGGCUCCGCCUGCUGCCACCACACCGCGCACGCGAGAGAAAGCCGAGGGUUUGUCCUCUUAUGCCAAGUUAGGGCAGCCCUCAAAGCAGAUCUCGAAGGGAAGACGUCUACCGAGAGCGGAUUUUGAUGUAUCACUCCAUGAGACUGGUGCCUUUCUCUAGCCUGGAGAAUUCCAAGGGUGCAAAGCUGGCUGAAGCUAUUUGAGACGGCUGGUGAGGAUUUGGGCCAGCAGAGGGGUAAGCGUUCAGGACUCGCAGAGUUUGAAUGAGCAAGCAUGUCUGAGUGGACCCCAUGGAAAGCAUUCAGGCUUUAGUUGUCUUAAAACGGCCAUACCCAGAGCAAGUGUAAAGGCAGUUGUGGAAAAUAAUAUAAACCAGUUACAAUAGCAUUCUUGGAGUGCUUACCCAGGUACUAGGGAUUAUUUUAUUAAUCCUCACAACCACCCUAAAAAAGCAUUACUUUCAUUCCCAUUUUUCAGAUGAGAAAACGGAGGAGUGAGGUCGUUAUUUUCUCAAGAUCAUAGAAUUAGCAUGGUUCAUAACUGGUAUUUAAAUAGCAGAUCCUUGUAUGUAUUAGCUUGGUGUUGAUCCCAUCUAUCUGUGGUUGGUUCCCAGAUUUACUACCUCCAGCUUUGGUUUCAUUCCCUCCUGAACUCAAGACCUGUAUAUCCAACUGCUUACUUGAUAUUUCCAUUUGGGUAUGUCAUAGCCAGUGGAAAACACUGGGUAAUUUAUGAGGAUAAGAGGUUUAGUUGACCCACAGGUCCACAGGCUGUACAGGAAGCAUGGCUGGGAGACCUCAGGAAACUUAAAAUCAUGGCAGAAGGUGAAGGGGAAGCACUUGCUCUCCUCUCUGCCUAGAGGGCUAGAGGAAAGUUCCUGAUUGCAACUUACCGCUACCUUGCUCUUCCCUAUCUUGGUUGCUUGAGUCACGUCUCCUUUCCCUUACCUUCUCCCUUUGUCUGACAUACCCAGUUGCUGUAGAACUUGAAUCCAUUGACUUCUCUCCAUUUCCACUGUCAUUUUAUGAGUGCAACCCACAUCACCCCACUGCUUUUAUUCUUCCCUCUCAGCCCACUCUCCACAGUAGAGAGAGAAUUAUUUUCAUCUCCCUUUACUGGCUUGUCAUUUAUCUGGGAAUAAAAUCCAAACUGCACCACGGAGCCUUGGAAGGCCUGGCUGCUCCUCCCCUCGCAGUUCUCCAUGGCUCACUGGACUUUAGCAGCUCUGGCCUCCCUUCUGUUCCCUAGGAACCUUGGCCUUUGCACUUGUUCUCCUCUCUGCCUAGAGGGCUCUUUUUCUCAUCUCUUUGCAUAGCUGGGUCAUCCUCAUCCUUUAGGUCUCAACUGAAAGGUCACCUUCUCACUGCUACUCCCAGCUACUCAUUCUCUUUCCCAUGUUUAUCUUUGUCAUAGUCCUUCAAACAAUUGGUAAUUAAUUUGCUUAUUUUAAAAAACUUGUUUGUUAGAUGUGUUUAUCCUGUUUCCUCCUCCCAACUAUGAUCUAAGCUCUCUGAGAAGGGGCCUCACUUACCUUCAUGUUCAUCACUGUAGUGCCACAAUCUAGCAAAUUGCCUGGCAUAUGGAGGUGCUCAGCAAAUACCUGUUAAAUAAAUGAAUGAAUUUUUUUGUAAGUGUUUGUUGUAUAAAAGAAUGAAGAGAGAACCAAGUGCCAGAUGUCAUACACCAUAUAUAGUGGAUUUUUAACCUGGUUGGAGUGGGCAGAAUGUUGUGGGAGCUAAAACAUACAGUUAUCAUACUUAUGACAAUCGUAUCUCUUAUAGACAUUUAAAAAGCACCACCCAUACUUAUUCCAGCAUUCAAAAAAUAUUUAUUAUUUUCUUAUGUUCUAGGCACUAGGUUGGUGGCUGGAGAUGCGGUGAAAUAGACAUAGUCCCUCUCCUCAAAGCUUAUGGUCUAGCAUUCCUCCCUGGACAAGAGUAGGGAAAAGUUGGGAGAGGAGACAGAAUCAGGUCAAGCUUUCCCUUCUUCUCUAUAAUAUCCCUAGCAAGAUAUAUCAAUGUAGAAAUCUUAAAUAAAAUUUAUAAGAAAAACACAGAAAGAGUCUCCAAAGGCUAGCAAAAUGCCCAUCCUUUAAACAGAAUAAUUAGCAAAGAGAAAUUGGAGCAGAGCUUCGUUUAGAAAACAGUUGGUUUUUGGUAUGAAUUUGUCACUUUUCUAAUGUGAAAAAUAUAAGAUGCCAACGCCAAAACUGAAAGUCAGGACUCAAGAUACUUGUAUCCAUUUAGAAAUUACUAUAGCCCUGUUAUUCAGUACUUCUGCCAAUAUCAACUUCUAAUGCAAGGGAACUUGGAACAAUGGAGAAAACAGUGGAAAAGUUGGAAUUGGAUAACCUGGAUCAGAGUCCUUGCCCUGUUCCUACAGCUCUUUAGCCUUAAGGAUGUGUCCUAACCUUUUCCAGUCCCAGUUGACUUGUCCAUCUAAUGGGGAUGAAAAGAGAAUAUAUCUCAAGACAUUUUUGUAGAUCAAAUUGGCAAAUCCAUGUUAUGUGUUUAGCAUAGUGCCUGUCAUCUAGCAUACAGAAUAAUAUAUAGUAAUAAUAUAAUUAUAGUGAUAUAAUUAUUAUAUUAGUGAUUAUAAUUAUUAUAACUAAUAAUAUAGCACAGUAAUAAUAUAUGAAUAUAAUAUAUAAUAUUGCUAAUAUUGUAAUUUUUGGUGAAAUUUAUUAUAGUACCACCCAAAGUUAGGGACUGUCAUGAGGAAUAAAUGAUGUGUGCAUAUACUUUUGUGUAAAUACCUAUCACAGUGAUUGGAACAUAGCAGGGCUAAAUGAAUAGUUGUUGAAUAAGCUAAUGUAUUGGGGAAGCUACAAAGGGUAGAUUGUUAUACAAAUGCUUGUACUUCUUAUUUUUAACAAAAAUAGAUUGAGCAAUCAGAAUCUCUCUAUGAGCAAACAAAGGAGGUCAAAAGAUGCUCAAAAAUGUCCCUAUUGAUCAAGUAUGUUAUUAGAAUAUUUAGCAAUCAAUAGGGCAUGGAUGCUGCCCGACUGGAAUAAAUGCUGGCAGUAGCUCCUGAUGAGGGUCCUAAGGGCCCCAACUCUGCCAUGCAUUAUCCCUUUAGUUAGAAAUUGUGGAAAGGUCUUGGAGGGGUCCUAAGAGUGUACCAGAGAAGAGGAAGUGGUAGUAUGGGGUGAAGGUGUUUGCAUAGGAUAGCAGCCAUGUUCCAACAAGUACAAAGCAAUUUCACUAUCUUAAUAUCUGGUUUAGCUGUGCUGGUGCUUCUGAUCUAAAGUAGCUCUGCCCCACAAACAAAAUCCUACAUAACUAGAGUUGAAAAGAGAGACAAUAUAUCCUGUAUAUACUAUGUUCCUCAAUUCACUUCCCAUCCUAAACACAGGGACAAGGAUUUGUUUGCUUGAAAGUAAUGAUCUGUCAACAAACUGGGUCAAAGAAAAGACCCUGGCAGCUUAGCCUGAGGAGAAGGGUGCUAGUAUCACAUCACGCAUCUAUAAAAUGUGGGCCGCUUUUGGAAAUACGUGGGUGAGUUGCCAAUUGCAUCAGCCUAGCUGUUGCAGUUCUUGAUAAUUAUUAGUCAUCUUUGUUCCAGCAAAAUCCUCAUCAUUCUCAAUAGAUUAGAGGCUAAAUUUCAAAUCCACUUUAGUAAAAAUCUUUACAAUUGGACUGUUAGAAACCUUGCAUUAUUUGAACAAAAGUGACGUAUUUGAAGAUCAGUGGGAAAGUUGGAAAAUAAACCAAUUCCUGCUCACUAAUUAUUUUUUUAAAUGCCAUGAAUGGAGGCUUGGUUUCACUGAAUAUGCCUUUAAAGAUUUUUAAAUGUUUUAUAUCCAGUCAAGUUGAGAUUUUUAAGAACAUUUUUAAUAUGUAAUAAAAUUUUAUAAUGACUUUUUUCAAAAAAGUUAACAAACUGCAAGCACUUGUUAAUAAAUGUCUUAAUUUAAAAAACGAACAUACAACUGUGUAACUAACUCUUUUCUGAUCUCUAUUGAUAUACUAAAUAUCACACAAAAUUUGGUGGUCUCUAUGGGGUUUGGUAUUUGGAAAUUACUGUUAGUGAGAAGAAAUGGAGGAAGGAUCUUAUAUGUUAUGUUUCCUUCUGAGUGAAUGAAAUCUGUAUGAGCUGAUUAGCAAAAUGGCUUCCAUGAUCCACCUACUGGAUAGCUUAU